rnacentral:sRNA from 1 species
AAGCUCGUGUAACGUCUGCCUCAGUCAC